CCAAGUCCAGCACAUGUGUCUGUGUGCCUAAAUGUGUCUAUUUCUAGGCAGGAGAAGGCAGACAGGAGCAAUGGCAGGGUGCACAUGGGAAACAUCUUGCAAAAGCCCCAGUUCUUAAUUCAAUGCAGUUUGGCACUACUUGGUGAUGGUCCUUUUGUGAGCAGGGAUUCCGGAGGUGCUGGACAAGGGCCGGUGAGUGUAGGGGGAGGAAUGGGAGCUUCUCUGAGCUGUUUCUCCUAUUCCUCCCCGGCAUAUCAUGGUUUAUCCUGUCUUGUGUCUCUACCUAUACCUCCACUAAUAACUGUAGGUGUCUGAGUUAAACCCGACACUCAAGAGAAAUCCUUGUUUCCUUUAUCCUACUGCCCACCACUCCUCCCUGAGAGACUCAGUCCCCUUCUUUCCAUCCUGGAUACUCUGCUUCCAAUCCCCACCCCCUUCCCAUUGCAGCUCAUAUCCUUGAACGGUUGGAGAAGGCCCCCAGAAUGUCAUCUUUCAGAUGCUAGGUUCCCUGACACCUUCAAGUUACAUAAUGGUUUUAAAUUCUCACUCUGGACUCCGGAGGAGGAACUUUUAACAAGUCUCACACUUUGGUGAGCAGCAUUUAUGAGCUGGCAGAGUUAAGGAAGGGGGUGGGUGGGAGAAUGGGGAUGGAGUUUAAAGAUGCCAACAGCUAGAAUCAUAAAAUCAUAGCAUAUUAGAGCUGGAAGGGACCUUAAACAUCAUCUAGUCUAAUUCCUGUUUCUUUUCAGGCAUGUGUGAGAGAAGAUUGGAUUGUUUGAAGAAGGUAAAACUGGAAGAAGAAUCAACAAACUCACAGAGGUCAAAUGAGUAAAUUGCUGUAUUUUUUCUUUGGGGAUUGGUGUGGAAAGGAGGUGGUGCUGCUGUGGGAAGGGGCAGCGUAUUAUAAGGAUGGGUAUUUUCUUUUCACAUGUGCCUAGAUAACUAAUCCAAUAUGUGAAAGAUGAUUGGUUUUUUCUCCCACAAUUAUAGAUCCUUAUUUCUGUCACUUUGGGGGCCCCCUGGUAUUCCUUACUUUGAUUUGUGGGGAGUAGAAUCCCUGGUCAGUCUGCGAAGUCCCCCAAACAUUAAUCUGGAACACAUGAGGGAUGAGUGGACUUUUCUUGAACAUGUGUAUCCUUUUCUAUCUAAAUAUGUCCCUGCUUCUGGUGCAUGACACCUUGAUUUGCAAGGGCUCCCCAUUCUAUGUCACAACCUUCUUAGGCUGAUACAACCUCUCAGAUUUCACUUCCGUUUAAUUUAAGGAGCAUGCACUGGCAGACUGUGUGCUAGGCAUUAUGCUGGAGACACAAAGACAAAAUGAAUCAGUUUUUGCCUUCCAGAAACUUAUAUUCUGGUGGGGCUGGUGGUAUAUGAGAAAGAAAUAGCAUUUGUACAGAUAAGUAAAUACAAAAAAAUAUAAAAAUAAACAGAAGAUAAUUUUUUGGGGAGGGGGUACU
rnacentral:lncRNA from 1 species